GAGCGUAUAGCUCAGUGGUAGAGUGCAUGCCUAGCAUGCACAAUGUCCUGGGUUCAAGCCCCAAUACUUCCA
rnacentral:tRNA from 1 species